rnacentral:tRNA from 1 species
UGGGACGUAGCCAAGUGGUAAGGCAACGGUUUUUGGUUCCGUUAUUCGGAGGUUCAAACCCUUCCGUCCUAG